UGACUACAAAACCAAUAUGGAAGCUUUCGAACGACAAGAGUGUCAGGCUGUGAUAUUUUGUGAAAACAGCAUGUUAUUGCUUUAUUGUUGCGAUCAUCAUAUUUAUGACUUGUGUUUUAGUCUAUCAAGUUUACCUUUUUUUAAAUUGCAUGGGACGUGCUGUCAUUUUAGCUUCUUUCUAAGUUGGAUGGCGUUAAAUCUCCGUGUAUCAUCAACGUGAAAACAAGCGCAGUAUUUAAGGUUGGUAUACUACAAUGUAUUACAGUUAUCGUGUUAUUUUAUAGUCAAAUUUCCGCUUUGUUGUUUUUAUUCUUGUACUUUUAAUAUAAAUACACUGUACAAAAUUAUGGCGUCAUACUUGUGUUUACAAUGCCUCUAGUUUGACCCUAUUGUGUGUGUAUAUGUACUGUGUCACUGUGAUACAUAUGUACAUGUUUUGAGUUAAACGAAUUGUUUAAUAAAUUUUUGCUGAAGUAUGAUGCCUGUUUGUAUGGAUAGAUUUUUACAUAUAUGUGCAUACAGUAUAGUUAUAUUUUUCAAUUUUCAUCUGUAAAAUAAUAUUUGUGUGUUGUUCUAAUAUUACUGUAAAUAGUGACACACUUUUGCAUUAGAUUGCUAAUUUUAGAGAUUACAGUGUAUGUAUAAAAUAAUAAAAUAAAAAUUUUUCUUGUUAUGAUUUUGUAGAAAGAGAUCUACUUGAGUGGUUCAGUGGUUAGCUGGUCUUGAACCUGGUCAGGAUGGAUAUGGUAAUGAAGGUGAUAGGGCAGAAAGUGGUGACCAGUUAAGUGAUCAGGAUGAAAGUGACGAGGACGAAAUCACCCAUGCUGUGCCAUUCAAGUGCAUUGGUGCUGCUCAUGAGAAACAUUACCAAGAUCAUUUGUAACAGGCAUGCCUUGCUAUUCAUGGACAAGAUAAACCAGUGAAUGUAAGAAUACGGCCAAUUGAGCCAUUGAAUCCAAUGGACCCAAAUGCAAUAGCAAUUAAUGUAAACUAUGGAACUGGAUGGACACAUGUGAUGUUGGCUAUAUUAUUUGCACCCACUAAUUGCUGCAUGAGAUAUCUUAGAGGUCUAUGUUCAGCAUAUAAAGUAUAGGGUUGACUUUUUUAAAAUAGGAUUUUAUUCAAAAAUUUUCAUAAAGCGAUGUGGUGAGUGGGAGACUCAAGUGGUAAGGAGGGGCAUGAGUGUAUGUCGACAGAUGUUUGUGAUAUAAUAGUAACUGACUAGGUUUAGCAAGUUAUAGAAAUGAUGUUAUUUAAAUUGGCUAACUUUUUAGAUUUUUUCAGCAUUUUUACCUUUCACUUUAUUGCCAAACAAAAAUCAUUUAAUUUAAGUAGGUGUGUAUCUAUAAGAAAACAAUAUCUGUCAUGUGCACUUGUGCAACUCCCUCAAAAUAGCAAUAUUGCUUUUUUAUUGUGGCAUAAAUUUAUUACUAGGACACCAAUAUGGUUCUCAUUACCUAUAUCUAAACGUAAAAAAACAUGUGCUAUAAAUAAAUGCAUCUACCUAUUUCGUGACUGAAUAGAAUUUAUUUUGUCAAGCCAUGUAAUUAAUUUUGAAAUUGCUGUGACUUUAUGUAACCCUUCUGCAGGAAUUGAGCCUAAAGCACCAACCCAUCCCCAACAAUAAAAUUACAUCUUACUGUCAAUUUCAAUUUGUCUUUGAAAUCUGACCACCAAUGUUUAUUUGUAAGUUCG
rnacentral:lncRNA from 1 species